rnacentral:lncRNA from 1 species
GGGAACCAUUGGUGAGAGGGAGCAGGGACCUACAGGGCAUCACCACGGUUGUGCUGAACUCGACAAUGUCCUGUCAUGGAGUCCCGCAUGUCUGGGUCCUCAUACUUGUCCGCCUCGUAGUCCUCAUCAUGCGCCUGCAUCAUAUUCAGACUUUAAUUGUACAGAAUGUGCAACAAACUCGCCAAUACUUCUUCUGCCAAGAUAAACAAGUACUAUGACCAACGAGGGCAAUCAGAGUGUGGAGAACAAACAAAAUGAACCUACUACAAAGUUUUCGACUCAUCGAAAAUUCAUCUCUGGACUGGACUGUUGUGUGACAAUGCACAAAUGGCGCCGCAGCCUUAUAAUAGCUCUAGAAUAAGCAAACUGCAAUUCUAUCUGUGAAAUGAACCAAAGUGUACAUCACAUUUUCUAAACUCGUGAAGUUGGGAAAGGUUCAGAAUCUGCUAUUCUUGAUGGUUGUGUUUCGAAUUUGAUAAGUUAAUUCCUUAUCGAUCUGGCCGGUGCUGCGUUUGAGCAUCAGAAUCGUCUUCUAAAGAGGGCACCCAGCGCGAGUAUAAUCGGCACAUCAUCACAAGGUCCAAAGUGUUUCAUCACUCACGAACAGGGAGGGUAAGAUUUGAUUUCAGUUUGGUAGAACCAAAGAAAUGGUGCAUAUAUUAUACAAAAAAUGCUCGAGGUUUAUAUAAUCAAAACUCGACCACGCACGCACAUACAAAAUGAACCAAAAAAUGGUGCGUAUUGAUUGAUGACAUGGCUGUACAAUUGAAAGCGGCGUCCAGAUCAGAUAUGGGGGAGAGAAAGAGCUCACCACGUACGGCUGCUCUGAGGGGAGGAGGAGGAGGCAGCCGACGGUCAUCCCCGACCGGCGUUGGGUAGGCGAGGAGGGAUGUCGGCGCCUCCGAGCCUCUGGCGAAGAGAGAUCGUCGGGGAGGAGGCGAAUCGGCAUGAGGACGUCACUGGAAAAGAUGGGGAGGAGAGGGGGAUGCCGUCGACGGAGGACUUGGGCCGGCCGUCACCAGGGCAGGUCGGAGUUCGACGAGGAUCCGCGACGGCGAGCUCGACGGUAUGGAGUUCGACGAGGAUCCGCGCUGGAGGGAGAGAGGGAGAGGAGAGGAUAGGCUCCG